rnacentral:rRNA from 1 species
CCAGACUCCUACGGGAGGCAGCAGUGAGGAAUAUUGGUCAAUGGGCGGGAGCCUGAACCAGCCAAGUCGCGUGAGGGAAGACGGUCCUACGGAUUGUAAACCUCUUUUGUCGGGGAGCAACGAGGCCACGUGUGGCCGAAGUGAGAGUACCCGAAGAAAAAGCAUCGGCUAACUCCGUGCCAGCAGCCGCGGUAAUACGGAGGAUGCGAGCGUUAUCCGGAUUUAUUGGGUUUAAAGGGUGCGUAGGCGGAACAUUAAGUCAGCGGUAAAAUCGAGGGGCUCAACCCCUUUAAGCCGUUGAAACUGGUGAUCUUGAGUGGGCGAGAAGUAUGCGGAAUGCGUGGUGUAGCGGUGAAAUGCAUAGAUAUCACGCAGAACUCCGAUUGCGAAGGCAGCAUACCGGCGCCCGACUGACGCUGAGGCACGAAAGCGUGGGUAUCGAACAGGAUUAGAUACCCGCGUA